rnacentral:rRNA from 1 species
UACGUAGGGGGCAAGCGUUGUCCGGAUUUACUGGGCGUAAAGAGCGUGUAGGCGGCCACGCAGGUCCGUUGUGAAAACUGGAGGCUCAACCUCCAGCUGUCGACGGAAACCGUAUGGCUAGAGUCCGGAAGAGGAGAGUGGAAUUCCUGGUGUAGCGGUGAAAUGCGCAGAUAUCAGGAAGAACACCAAUGGCGAAGGCAGCUUGCUGGGACGAUACUGACGCUGAGGCGCGAAAGCGUGGGGAGCAAACAGG